rnacentral:misc_RNA from 1 species
UGCCCGUUCGAGCGUCAUUUCACCACUCAAGCCUGGCUUGGUAUUGGCUCCCCGGGCGACCCGGACCCAAAUGUCGUCGGCUGGAAAGUCCCGAUCUCAGCGUUGUGACACAAGUUCGCUGCGUGAGGGACGGUUCCGGGCCGUGAAACACUUCAUUCAAGGUUGACCUCGGAUCGGGUAGGGAUACCCGCUGAACUUAA